rnacentral:rRNA from 1 species
CCUACGGGUGGCAGCAGUGAGGAAUAAUGGUCAAUGGUCGGGAGACUGAACCAGCCAAGCCGCGUGAGGGAUGAAGGUACAGAGUAUCGUAAACCUCUUUUGUCAGGGAACAAAGGCGGGGACGUGUCCCCGGAUGAGUGUACCUGAAGAAAAAGCAUCGGCUAACUCCGUGCCAGCAGCCGCGGUAAUACGGAGGAUGCGCGCGUUAUCCGGAGUUAUUGGGGUUAAAGGGUGCGCAGGCGGUCUGUUAAGUCAGCGGACAAAGCCCGGGGCACAAACCCGGCCCGCCGUUGAAACUGGCAGUCGCGAGUUGGAGAGAAGUAUGCGGAAUGCGCGGUGUAGCGGUGAAAUGCAUAGAUAUCGCGCAGAACUCCGAUUGCGAAGGCAGCAUGCCGGCUCCACACUGACGCUGAGGCACGAAAGCGUGGGUAUCGAACAGGAUUAGAUACCCCAGUAGUC